ensembl:snRNA U6 U6 spliceosomal RNA
GUGCUCCCUUUCACAGCACAGAUGAUGAAAUGGAAUCAAUACAGACAUCAGCAUGGCCCCAGGCAGGGAUGACACACAAAUUCAUGAAGCAUUUCAUAUUUUU